rnacentral:rRNA from 1 species
CUCGUAGGCGGUUCGUCGCGUCCGGUGUGAAAGUCCAUCGCUUAACGGUGGAUCUGCGCCGGGUACGGGCGGGCUGGAGUGCGGUAGGGGAGACUGGAAUUCCCGGUGUAACGGUGGAAUGUGUAGAUAUCGGGAAGAACACCAACGGCGAAGGCAGGUCUCUGGGCCGUUACUGACGCUGAGGAGCGAAAGCGUGGGGAGCGAACA